rnacentral:lncRNA from 1 species
GGAAGAUAAUCGAAAGGCAGUUCCCUCGCCCUAGGCGGCCCACGACCCUGGCUAUGGCCGCUGAGGCCCCCUCCUCUGAAUGCCAUGUAUUAUAUCGUCGCCGGACGGAGGCAUCGAGGCCGAAGAAGGCAUGGCGUGGAAAGGCUAGGUGAGGGCGGCGUAGUCGGGCACUGCUGUUGUCGAUCGAAAGAGACAGGUCGGGGCGAGCUGGUGAGGGCCGGAGCUGCGGCGCAUCGCAGAUCGGCCGUACUGGAGGGAGGGACGGCGGCGCCGACUUGAGGCCGGUGUGUGGCACAUUGCAGACCGGAGGGAGGGGCGGCGGCUCCAAGUUGAGGCCGAAGUACAGCGAAUUGCGGCGGGUGAGAGAAGAGCGUAUGUGAGAGACGGGGAAGGGGAAUUGGUUUUAGGUUUUGGGAAUUGGGAAAGAGAAAUAUUGAUUUUGUGUUUUUAAAAUAAAAUAAUUGAUGUGGAAUUAUAUUGUCACGUCAGCGAUAGAGAAUUGAGCUAGAUGCUCUAGAAUUGCAGGGAUUUUGAAUGGUGAAUUAUUAGAGAUGUCACGUAGGACCCCAGAUUAAGGAGAAGCCUAGAUUCUCAAACCGUAUUAUAUAAUGAUUUUAAUGCAUUCUACCAAACAUGAUAUAUUAAUAUGACAUAUUUAUAUCUAUAAAAUAGCACUGCACCGAAACCUUCUCCAACUUCUUGUUCAAAUCCUCUAAAUUUGAGUUCUUAGCUUCAAAUUCAUAAAAUUUCUUACAAAACUGUUCAAUAUGCCCAGUAAGCCUGUGACUCUCACCAAUUUAGUAAUUGAGUUUGUUUGGGCAAACUUCAACGAUGUUAUGCUUUAUUCACUCACAAAAAAAAGUACAAUGAAUUUGAAAAAAAAAAUAUCUCAGCUUGCAACAAAUUAACCUCAGCAAUAAAAUACAGAAGAAUAUUUUUUUUAAAAGGGAAAAACUUCACAUUCAGCUCGUAAACGACAACAGUAGAAGCACGCUCAAGAAUAUUUGCGAUUUUUGAAGUUUCAACCCUUGGGGCGUUUUUACACAUGCAAACAAUGAUUUUUGAAUUUAAGCCUAAGGGAAGAAAGAAGAAGAAAAAGAAGAAUCCCCCUAGUUGUAGAGACGUGAUGAAGAAGAAGAAGAAGAAGAAAACAAUAAUUUAAGGUAAUGAUUUCAAUUCUAUGGAUUGGGUGAUAAAUAUGUACUAAACGACGUAGUUUCGUAUUCUUACUAAAUAUUGUGCUUAAGUUAUGGGACGGGAAAAAAUUGUGACGCGUGUUAGCGAGCUACAUCAUUGUCACGUUGAUUUUGAAUUGGAGUAAUUGAAAAGCGAUGAUAAAAUUGAACAAAUGUGAAAAAUUUUAAUAAAAAAAUUGAAAUUCUAAAAUUCGUAGCCAAAUCAUAAUUCGACCCAAAGUUUAUGAUUUUAAUGCAUUUAACCCUAAAAGAAAUGGCCUUUAGAAAGAAGGGGAAAAAAACCCUAAAAAGAAGUCCCCCCCUCCCCCCCUCCCAAACACACACACACUGACACACAUCAUCUCUCUGNUAAUCGAAAGGCAGUUCCCUCGCCCUAGGCGGCCCACGACCCUGGCUAUGGCCGCUGAGGCCCCCUCCUCUGAAUGCCAUGUAUUAUAUCGUCGCCGGACGGAGGCAUCGAGGCCGAAGAAGGCAUGGCGUGGAAAGGCUAGGUGAGGGCGGCGUAGUCGGGCACUGCUGUUGUCGAUCGAAAGAGACAGGUCGGGGCGAGCUGGUGAGGGCCGGAGCUGCGGCGCAUCGCAGAUCGGCCGUACUGGAGGGAGGGACGGCGGCGCCGACAUGAGGCCGGUGUGUGGCACAUUGCAGACCGGAGGGAGGGGCGGCGGCUCCAAGUUGAGGCCGAAGUACAGCGAAUUGCGGCGGGUGAGAGAAGAGCGUAUGUGAGAGACGGGGAAGGGGAAUUGGUUUUAGGUUU